UACGAAGGUCCCAAGCGUUAUCCGGAUUUAUUGGGUUUAAAGGGUGCGUAGGCGGCUUAUUAAGUCAGUGGUGAAAUACUCUAGCUCAACUAGAGGGGUGCCAUUGAUACUGAUGAGCUUGAGUACAGAUGAGGUAGGCGGAAUUGACGGUGUAGCGGUGAAAUGCUUAGAUAUCGUCAAGAACACCUAUAGCGAAGGCAGCUUACUAGGCUGUAACUGACGCUGAGGCACGAAAGUGUGGGGAUCAAACAGG
rnacentral:rRNA from 1 species